AAGCUUGAUGAUGAGAAUGGAUAUUUACAUCUCACGACGGUCAUCUGAGACGCUUCUGUGUCAAUGUCGAUGCAUAUCCAAACUCUGAUGGCU